CCUACGGGAGGCAGCAGUGAGGAAUCUUGGUCAAUGGACUAGAGUCUGAACCAGCCAAGUAGCGUGAAGGAUGACUGCCCUAUGGGUUGUAAACUUCUUUUAUAUGGGAAUAAAAUGUUCCACGUGUGGGAUUUUGUAUGUACCAUAUGAAUAAGGAUCGGCUAACUCCGUGCCAGCAGCCGCGGUAAUACGGAGGAUCCGAGCGUUAUCCGUAUUUAUUGGGUUUAAAGGGAGCGUAGGUGGAUUGUUAAGUCAGUUGUGAAAGUUUGCGGCUCAACCGUAAAAUUGCAGUUGACAAUGGCAGUAUUGAGUACAGUAGAGGUGGGCGGAAUUCGUGGUGUAGCGGUGAAAUGCUUAGAUAUCACGAAGAACUCCGAGUGCGAAGGCAGUUCACUGGACUGCAACUGACACUGAGGCUCGAAAGUGUGGGUAUCAAACAGGAUUAGAUACACCUGUAGUC
rnacentral:rRNA from 1 species